GCUGCGGCCCGGGGCCGGGUGGUGAAUGGGCUGGUGGUGCUCGCUGCUGCUGCUGAGAGGAGGAGGAGGAUGAAGAGUUGGGCUUGUUUGUCUCCUACAGUUUCUCUCCUGCUGCUCUGAUUCCCCCCUCCCGAUUCCGGCCCGGGGCCUGUGUGUGUCCCUCCUGGAGGAGGAGGAGGAUCCAGUUCCUCCCCCCAACCCCCUCCUCCCCACCCCCCCUUGCCUGGGGAAGAGGAGGAAAGAAACAGCCCAGAGAGAGAGAGAGAGAGAGAGAGUGAGUGAGAGAGAGGAGAGGAGAGGAGGAGGAGGAGGAGGAGGGAGAAGGGAACAACCUACCAUCUUAACACACUAAUAUCUAAAAAGUGCGAGAGGCCCAGAGCAGCAGCAGAAGCAGCAGCAGCAGCUCCAGCUUCUUCCCUCCCUCCCCAUGAAGAAGAGUUCCCUCCUCCUCCUCCUCCUGCUUCUCCUGCUCAGAGUUCCUGCCUCCAGCUGCCAGGGGGGACAGCCAGCCAGCAGCAGGAGGGGGGCUAGAGAGCUGAAGGAGAGCCAGUUUCCCCAAAAUUGGACUUCUCAGAACCUUUAAUAUGCUAAUGUGCAUUGUGAAUCUCCAAGAGGGGGAUAUGAUAUGCAGCAUUCUUGAAUACUUCUAAUGACAGGGAGCCCACUACCUCAUAAGCUGCAGUGAGAAGAGGAGUUUGUUACUUUAAACAGAGGCUGAAGAAACUAUAGAAUUAGCAGAGAAAGUGGAGAAGGUAGAGGAUGGAGUUGCAGACUCUACAGGAGGCUCUUAAAGUGGAAAUUCAGGUUCACCAGAAACUGGUUGCUCAAAUGAAGCAGGAUCCACAGAAUGCUGACUUAAAGAAACAGCUUCAUGAACUCCAAGCCAAAAUCACAGCUUUGAGUGAGAAACAGAAAAGAGUAGUUGAACAGCUACGGAAGAACCUGAUAGUAAAGCAAGAACAACCGGACAAGUUCCAAAUACAGCCAUUGCCACAAUCUGAAAACAAACUACAAACAGCACAGCAGCAACCACUACAGCAACUACAACAACAGCAGCAGUACCACCACCACCACGCCCAGCAGUCAGCUGCAGCCUCUCCCAACCUGACUGCUUCACAGAAGACUGUAACUACAGCUUCUAUGAUUACCACAAAGACACUACCUCUCGUCUUGAAAGCAGCAACUGCGACCAUGCCUGCCUCUGUGGUGGGCCAGAGACCUACCAUUGCUAUGGUGACCGCCAUCAACAGUCAGAAGGCUGUGCUCAGCACUGAUGUGCAGAACACACCAGUCAACCUCCAGACGUCUAGUAAGGUCACUGGGCCUGGGGCAGAGGCUGUCCAAAUUGUGGCAAAAAACACAGUCACUCUGCAGGUUCAGGCAACACCUCCUCAGCCCAUCAAAGUACCACAGUUUAUCCCCCCUCCUAGACUCACUCCACGUCCAAACUUUCUUCCACAGGUUCGACCCAAGCCUGUGGCCCAGAAUAACAUUCCUAUUGCCCCAGCACCACCUCCCAUGCUCGCAGCUCCUCAGCUUAUCCAGAGGCCUGUCAUGCUGACCAAGUUCACCCCCACAACCCUUCCCACAUCCCAGAAUUCCAUCCACCCCGUCCGUGUCGUCAAUGGGCAGACUGCAACCAUAGCCAAAACGUUCCCCAUGGCCCAGCUCACCAGCAUUGUGAUAGCUACUCCAGGGACCAGACUCGCUGGACCUCAAACUGUACAGCUUAGCAAGCCAAGUCUUGAAAAACAGACAGUUAAAUCUCACACAGAAACAGAUGAGAAACAAACAGAGAGCCGCACCAUCACCCCACCUGCUGCACCCAAACCAAAACGGGAGGAGAACCCUCAGAAACUUGCCUUCAUGGUGUCUCUAGGGUUGGUAACACAUGACCAUCUAGAAGAAAUCCAAAGCAAGAGGCAAGAGCGAAAAAGAAGAACAACAGCAAAUCCGGUCUACAGUGGAGCAGUCUUUGAGCCAGAGCGUAAGAAGAGUGCAGUGACAUACCUAAACAGCACAAUGCACCCUGGGACCCGGAAGAGAGGUCGUCCUCCAAAAUACAAUGCAGUGCUGGGGUUUGGAGCCCUUACCCCAACAUCCCCCCAAUCCAGUCAUCCUGACUCCCCUGAAAAUGAAAAGACAGAGACCACAUUCACUUUCCCUGCACCUGUUCAGCCUGUGUCCCUGCCCAGCCCCACCUCCACAGACGGUGAUAUUCAUGAGGAUUUUUGCAGCGUUUGCAGAAAAAGUGGCCAGUUACUGAUGUGCGACACAUGUUCCCGUGUAUAUCAUUUGGACUGCUUAGACCCCCCUCUGAAAACAAUUCCCAAGGGCAUGUGGAUCUGUCCCAGAUGUCAGGACCAGAUGCUGAAGAAGGAAGAAGCAAUUCCAUGGCCUGGAACUUUAGCAAUUGUUCAUUCCUAUAUUGCCUACAAAGCAGCAAAAGAAGAGGAGAAACAGAAGUUACUUAAAUGGAGUUCAGAUUUAAAACAAGAACGAGAACAACUAGAGCAAAAGGUGAAACAGCUCAGCAAUUCCAUAAGUUCACCUGAGCGAGUGGGCCCAUCCAUACGGCCCUCCCUCGCUCUUUCUUCCACACCAUGCUGAUUGCAUUUCCCGGUUUUCCUGACCAGUGUGAGGAAGCGGGCUUUCUAGAGACAAGUAUUGGAAAAAUGCAUGGAAAUGAAGAACACCAUCCUGGCCCGGCAGAAGGAGAUGCACAGCUCCCUGGAGAAGGUAAAACAGCUGAUUCGCCUCAUCCACGGCAUCGACCUCUCCAAACCUGUAGACUCUGAGGCCACUGUGGGGGCCAUCUCCAAUGGCCCGGACUGCACCCCCCCUGCCAAUGCCGCCACCUCCACGCCGGCCCCUUCCCCCUCCUCCCAGAGCUGCACAGCGAACUGUAACCAGGGGGAAGAGACUAAAUAACAGAGCCCCUCUAGGAGAAGCCACGGGAUCCCGGCGGCAAGGAGAACAGAACACUGAAGACUCUAGAAAAGCAAAGCCGGAUUUCUGGAAAGUGCAGAAUUCUUUUGGUUCUUUGGUUCCAGAGAGAGAGAAGAUGCUUGUGCCAGGUGGCACCAGAGUUUGCCAAUUGAUCCUUCUUAUUCUGUGUGUACAUGCAAAGAUUGGACCAUGUUACAUGAAAUAGUGCCAGCUGGAGGUUCUUUGCCAGCACCAUGCCAAGUGAAAUAAUAUAUUUACUCUCUCUAUUAUACACCAGUGUGUGCCUGCAGCAGCCUCCACAGCCACGAUGGGUUUGUUUCUGUUUUCUUGGGUGGGGAGCAGGGACGGGCGGAGGGAGGAGAGCAGGUUUCAGAUCCUUACUUGCCGAGCCGUUUGUUUAGGUAGAGAAGACAAGUCCAAAGAGUGUGUGGGCUUUCCUGUUUCUAAACUUUCGCUACUAUAAAACCAAAAAAAGGAAUUGAGAUUUCACCAACCCCAGUGCCCAGAAGAGGGAAGGGGAGUGGCUGGAGGGAGCAGGGGGUGGGACAGUGUAUCAAAUAAGCAGUAUUUAAUCACCUCUGGCGGGGGCCUCGUGCAAGGGGAGACUGACACCAAGAACAGCCAGUAGGUUCUUCUCCCCUGCACUCUGCUCCCUGCGCGGUAACCCCACCACUCCUGAAGGCUGCCCAGUCUCCUUCCUUCCCUGCUUGGUGAAUCGCGCAUCUCCGUGGUUAUCCCGCUGUCUCCUCUCCAAGAACAAGCAGAGCCCGGGCCACUGGCCCUUGCCCAAGGCAGGGAAGAAGGAUGUGUGUGUCCAGGAAGGAAAAAAAGGUGGAUCAGUGAUUUUACUUGAAAACAAGCUCCAUCCCUUUUCUAUAUUUAUAAGAAGAGAAGAUCUUGAGUGAAGCAGCACGCGACCCAGGUGUGUGUGAAUUGAAUGGAGACGUUUCUUUUCUCUUUCUUUAAUUUUUGUUUUUGUUCUUUUUUUCUUUAAGGAAAGUUUUAUUUUACUGUUCAUUUUACUUUCUUGGUAACAAAAACUAAAAUAAGGAAUAGAAAAGCUGUUUUUCAGGCUGACAGUCCAAUUAAGGGUAGCCGAGACCUUGCAUGGUAGAGUAGGAAUCAUAGUGUCAGUGAGGUCCCGUGAGUCUUUGUGAGUCCUUGUGUCAUCGUUCGGGCACUGUUUUUUUAUGCAAGGGCAAAAAUCUUUGUAUCUGGGGAAAAAAAACUUUUUUUUAAAUUAAAAAGGAAAAUAAAAGAUAUUGAGGUCUUCCUAGUGUUACUUAAAUUAAGAUCAAGGUAAGAAACAUUGUAAAAAAAAAUUACAAAAGUGCUAUUUGUUUCCUAAAAACAGUGAUUUCUAUUAAAAAGGUGUCAGAACUGGAGAAAA